UCCCUUAUGGCUUAGUCGGUAAAGAAUCUGCCUGCAAAGCAGGAGAUCUGGGUUCUAUUCCUGGGUUGGGAA
rnacentral:tRNA from 1 species